UUAAGUGACGAUAGCCUAGGAGAUACACCUGUACCCAUGCCGAACACAGCAGUUAAGCCCUAGAACGCCGGAAGUAGUUGGGGG
rnacentral:rRNA from 1 species